AAUCAACGCUGGCGGCGUGCCUAACACAUGCAAGUCGAACGCGAAAGGGACUUCGGUCCUGAGUAGAGUGGCGAACGGGUGAGUAACGCGUGGGUGAUCUACCCUCGAGUGGGGGAUAACGUUCCGAAAGGGACGCUAAUACCGCAUGAUGUUCCGGGUUUGAAGACCUGGAAACCAAAGCCGGGGACCGCAAGGCCUGGCGCUCAAGGAGGAGCCCGCGUCUGAUUAGCUAGUUGGCGGGGUAAUGGCCCACCAAGGCGACGAUCAGUAGCCGGCCUGAGAGGGCGGACGGCCACACUGGGACUGAGACACGGCCCAGACUCCUACGGGAGGCAGCAGUGGGGAAUGUUCGCAAUGGGCGCAAGCCUGACGACGCAACGCCGCGUGGAGGAUGAAGGUCUUCGGAUUGUAAACUCCUGUUGGAUCGGGACGAAAAGCUUCGACCUAACACGUCGAGGACUGACGGUACCGGUUGAGGAAGCCACGGCUAACUCUGUGCCAGCAGCCGCGGUAAAGU
rnacentral:rRNA from 1 species